rnacentral:rRNA from 1 species
ACGGGUGAGUAAUACGUGAGAAUUUACCCUUUAGUGAAGAAUACCUCUGAGAAAUCAGAGUUAAUACUGCAUAAGUCCCUACGGGGAGAAAGGUGGCCUCUUUGCUGCCGCUAAAGGAUAAGCUUGCGCGCUAUUAGCUAGUUGGUGAGGUAAAGGCUCACCAAGGCAAUGAUGGCUAGCCGGCCUGAGAGGGUGUACGGCCACACUGGAACUUAAACACGGUCCAGACUCCUACGGGAGGCAGCAGUGAGGAAUAUUGCGCAAUGGGCGAAAGCCUGACGCAGCGACGCCGCGUGGAGGAUGACGGUUUUCGGAUUGUAAACUCCUGAUAAGUGGGAAGAAAGAAUCAUCUUUAAUACAGAUGAGAGAUGACUGUACCAUUAGAGAAAGCACCGGCUAACUUCGUGCCAGCAGCCGCGGUAAUACGAGGGGUGCAAGCGUUAUUCGGAAUCAUUAGGGCGUAAAGGGUGCGUAGACGGCUUACUAAGUCAACUGUUUAAUUCUCCGGCCUAACUGGAGGUCAGCGGUAGAAACUGGUAUGCUUGAGGUUGGAAGAGAGGAGUGGAAUUCUCGGAGUAGCGGUAAAAUG